rnacentral:rRNA from 1 species
UACGUAGGGUGCAAGCGUUGUCCGGAAUCACUGGGCGUAAAGCGCACGUAGGCGGCUUUUUAAGUCAGGGGUGAAAUCCUGGAGCUCAACUCCAGAACUGCCUUUGAUACUGAGAGGCUCGAGUCCGGGAGAGGUGAGUGGAACUGCGAGUGUAGAGGUGAAAUUCGUAGAUAUUCGCAAGAACACCAGUGGCGAAGGCGGCUCACUGGCCCGGUACUGACGCUGAGGUGCGAAAGCGUGGGGAGCAAACAGG